rnacentral:lncRNA from 1 species
UGGGAUGUUCUACAAUUAGCCCCUACUUAAUCUUAAAUCAGCUAGCUAUAUCAUGGUGGGGCCACCUACAAAAUGGCAAUACCAUCUUGGCAAUUUUAUACAUGGCCCCUGCUAAAUAAAACAUCCAGUUAUUAGGUGGCAAGAGAGUUGCCUGCAAAAUUCGCACCCUUGUGUCCAAGGGUCAUCCUCCUCCCCACUCUCCUCCAUUACCACAUAGGAU